AGGGUGGCGUAGGCGGCCUGUUAAGUCAGGGGUGAAAGACGGUAGCUCAACUAUCGCAGUGCCCUUGAUACUGAUGGGCUUGAAUUGACUAGAGGUAGGCGGAAUGUGACAAGUAGCGGUGAAAUGCAUAGAUAUGUCACAGAACACCGAUUGCGAAGGCAGCUUACUAUGGUCUUAUUGACGCUGAGGCACGAAAGCGUGGGGAUCAAACAGGAUUAGAUACCCCCUGU
rnacentral:rRNA from 1 species